rnacentral:snRNA from 1 species
UAUGCUUCUCGGCCUUUUGGCUAAGAUCAAGUGUAGUAUCUGUUCUUAUCAGUUUAAUAUCUGAUACGUCCCCUAUCUGGGGCCAAUAUUUAAAUGGAUUUUUGGAACAGGGAGAUGGAAGAAGAGCUUGCUCUGUCCACUCCACGCAUCGACCUGUGUAUUGCAGUACCUCCAGGACCGGUGCACCUCUC